GCUGACAGCACACCUCAGAACAUUUAAGUUAUAAUUGGAUGGUACCAAAAUGUUUAGAGUUUGAAAAGUUUCAAGGUGUUUCUCAUAAGCAUAUGCUAUUGGAAACUACUCUUAAGAGUGGAAAAAGCAGUCCAUUGUGAGCAGCCCUGUGAGGAGAGCGGUCCAUCUGAAAAGGAACUGAUAUCUCUCGUCAACAGCCAGUAAAAUUCUGAGGCCUGCCUAUAGCAUCUCAAUCCAAGGUCACUUCAGAAAUCUGGAGGCUUGUGUAACAGCACACAGGAUCAAAGGAAGGACCCUCCACUCAAGAAUAAUCUGUCAUGAUUGUGGAGAAUAUCAACAUUAUCCAAGACCUUAUUUAGGUUCCUUGAAAGCUGGCAUCUGUGCACCUUCUAUUCAGAUGGAAGGAAAACUGAUAUACUAUUUUCAAUGAGUUUUGGAUUUUCAAAGGGCACACACAGAGAUAAGAACUUUAGACUGCUUCUUGAAGAUAUAAUUCAAUGAUUUUAACCAAUAUUUAUACUAUCCAGCAUCACCUGGAUUACAGUCAAUCAAAUAAAGUGUAUGAACCAAGUAAUCACACAAUAUCUGCAUUGAUGUGUUGCCUACAUGAAGCAGACUGAUCUGAAUAACUCAUCAAAAACAUAAUUCACAUAUAUCUUGUUUACUCCAUUUGCCAACAUACUUUAUUUCAGAGAAAUUUUAAAUUAUAUCUCAGCUGUUUCUUAGAGCUCCUUUGUGGAAAUUACAUCCUAGUUUCUGUUCCAUACUUGAGUAAACUAUAGGCUUUCCAGUACAAUGUCCAUUGACCAAAAUCUGGAGCAAGAGAAAUAGUAUUAUGGCAGUUAGGACACAGUAGCUGGAGCCAAACUAUCUAGGUUCAAAUUUUCGCUCUGUCACUUACUAACUCUAUCCUUGAAUGUAUCGUUUACCCUUUUGCCUUAUUUUCCACAACUGUCAUCAAAGGGAGUAGUAAUAGUAUGUGUUAAGGUUAUCAAUUAAAUUGAAUGUGUUAAUAUAUGCAUCACUUAGAACAGCUGUGUGGUGUAUAUAUCUAUAUCUAUAUUUAUAUAUCUAUAUUUAUACAAUCAUCCCUCAGUAUCCUUAGGGGAUUAGGUUAAGGACUGACCACAAAUACCAAAAUCCAUGCAUACUCAAGUUCCGCAGUCAGCUUUAUGGAAAUCAUGGAUACAAAAUGUUGGCCCUCCGUAUAUGCAGAUUUAGCUUCCCACAAAUACUAUUUUUCUAUCUGCUUUUGGCAGAUGAAUGUGAAUGAGGAAUCCAGCAAUAAUAAUGGCCUACUGUAAUUAUUGAAAAGAAUCUGCAUAUAAAUAGAUCUGCCCAGUUCAAACCAUGUUGUUCAAGGGUAAACUGUAUAUCUCUUUUGGACUCUCCAUUUGGGAAGACAUGGACGCAGAGGAUUUCUUCCUUUGCUUGUUUAUUUUUAUGUGAGUGUGGGCCCACAUUUACCUCUAUUGGCUGAUCUAGAAGAUUCACAGAGGUUAUGUUCUUCAUCUUGCUAUCCCAACCGUCAGGUUCAAGACUUUGUAUUAUCUUUGUCUCUUACUUCACUGACUUGUAGAUGUCCCUGGUCCUUGAUCCAUCUUUGUGAAUUUAAUGAUUCAAACUCUCUUGUUUAUAGCAGGUUUAAAA